rnacentral:lncRNA from 1 species
CACCAUGCAUGCAUACUCAUAUGAAUGUACAAAUGGAUGAGUCUAGAACAAAAGAUACUAGCCUGAUACAUAUACAAACUAUGCAGCUGCAGUCCCUGCCUCUUCCGCAACCCUGACCUCUAAGAAAGCUCUAACUCUGAAUCCUGUCAGCACCUGGGCUGUGCUGCUUGGGACAACAUUGUCUUCACAAGUCCUCUCCACAUUCUCAGAGGUGGGGGUAUUGCCAAUGAUGGGGGUUACUGCCUGAGUCCCGUCACCAGGGGACAAAGCUACAGCAGACACCACCAUCUGCCAACAAAAAGAGAGAUCAUCUCCCACCCCUGGUUCUGCUGACGCAAUCACUGGAAGCAUCGAGGCACCACUAUGUCCUCACCUGCCUCGGAUUCAAUUUCCUCCUAGCCAGGUCUGUUCUAAGGUCUCCAGAAGUUGAGAAAUUAAUUGAAAGAUAACACUUUCCUCCCUGUGUUAAGGUUUAUCACAUAAUGUAUCCAAAUACUGGGCCAGUCUUUCCUUUGGUCUCAUUUCUAUGAGCUAAUCUGAAAAUGCCUUUUCUGUUUUCCUUAGAAUUUUUCUAAAUGUUUCUGGGCGCUUGUGUUCCUGAGGCUUUCCACAGUGCACCCUCUUGUUCAUCUGAUGUCUUUGGCACAUAUAGGCCCUCGACAGGUAGUUGUUCAAUGAACAGAUGACCAUCCUGUCCUUUGUGUGAACAAGCAUAGCAAGUGCACAUUGUAUCUGUUUGUGUAUCCAACAGCGUCCCUCCAAAGCCACUUUGUUCACUUAUUUUCUCAGGAUCACGGACGGCUGCAUCUUGACAUAAGCACACAGAAUCUUUCCUUUUCCAGUCACUUUUCCUUUUUCCAGAUUCCGGCCAUAGAAUUCCAGGCACAGAGCCAACCAUGCCUGGCACCCCCUCCUGUCUUGGGACAAGGAUACUUUCUCCUGUGGCUCCCAUCUUGCUUCCAACAUUCUUCUGCCAGAAUUCAGUUUGGCGGACAAUGACCUACUACUUUUAAUUUUUUUCCCCUUUUUGCUCUUCUACCAAAUACCGCUUUUCACCCAGGCUUUUCACUGCGUAGUGGACAAUCUAUCAAACAGGUGCUGUCCAGCGUGAGGGGCAGUUGCAAAGGUCUGCAUCGGUGCUGGCUGAUGGAACUUUCCGGUGAUGGCAUCAUUCCGUAGCUGCACUGUCCAGUGAGGAGGCUACUUGCCACUGUGGCUACUGCUUGGGAUGGUGCAGGUCUGAAUAUCUUACUCACAGCUCACCUUUUUGGUGCCUUUGAUCCGUAUUAGGAAUUAUCCACAUCUUCUCUCUGGGCAAUAUUCUACUUUUUAUAUUGACCCAAUUAUUUUACUUCUUUGGUGUGUCCUUUCUCCUAACACAUAUGGGUUCACUUUGAAACCCUGAAACCCACAUUUACAAAAACAUUUUCAAUAUGAAACAUUGUUCCAUGACUCAUUACUGGAGUACCAUCAACAUUUACAUUUCCAGACCACCCACUGCCCAGUGGUUUUCUUGGUCUCAGUACUCAUGAAAACGGUCUGAAGGUUUGUUUUGGGUUCCUAAGUAGUAGACACACGCACAACACUGCCUGUCAGUUAUUUCUUGGAAACUAAAUCAGCCCUUCUGUUGCCAUCCUAUCAUGCUUCAGGGGUGCCUGUGCUAGUUUUUAAUUCUUUGUCCUAACACUUAAAUGUUUGCUCAAACGCCCAUAUUAAUACUUCCUCUUAGUUUACAAAAGGAUUUACUUUCUUACUGGUUGGGAUGAAGCUGCCUGAGGUUGCCACCUGUUAUUUUUCCUUCAUUUAUUGGACCAUGUCAUCCCAUUACAUGUUAGCCGUGGAGGUUUUCAAACUGUGUUCCCUGGACAUGUUAGAAAUGCAAAUUCUCAGACCGAACCAGGACUGAAUCGGAAGAUCUGGGGUAGGGUCCCUCCAGGACUGAAAACGGAAGGUCUGGGGUGGGGUACCCCAGGACUGAAUCGGAAGGUCUGGGGUGGGGUCCCCCCAGGACUGAAUCGGAAGGUCUGGACUAGGGCCCCCCCAGGACCGAAUCGGAAGGUCUGGACUAGGGUCCCCCCAGGACUGAAUUGGAAGGUCUGGGGUAGCGUCCCUCCAGCUGAUCCUGUUACACAGGUUAGAGA